UGGGUGGGGUUUAGAGUUAAGGGAUGGGAUUUAGGAUUUAGGGUUUAGGGUUUAGGAUUUAGGGUUUAUAAUUUAGGGGUGGGGUUUAGAGUUUAGAGUUAAGGGUGGGGUUUAGGGUUUAAGGUUUAGAGUUUAGGUUUUAGGUUUAAAGUUGGGGAGUAGAGUUUAGGUUUUAGGUUUAAAGUUGGGGAUGUAAAGUUUAGGUUUAUGUUAUUGUUAGGUUUUGUUUGUUAUGUUAGUGCCCGCCCCUGGGUUCGAGCCUUGGCCACUGCGGAAUUUACAUAUGGGCUGCAGCAUCCGAGACCGAAGACCGUUACACGGUGAGCCACAUGGUGACGCCCUGGCAGCGUCCUUGCUCACUUCGGUCUCUAGUCUGGACCACCUCGGUGGGGCCAGGAUACUCGGUUAGCAAAAAAAAAAAAAAGUUGGGGAGUGGGGUUUUGAGAUAAGAUUUCAAAUUUUGAAAAAUAAAAUAAAAAUAAAAUUUUC
rnacentral:lncRNA from 1 species